UACAGAGGUCUCGAGCGUUAGGCGGAAUCACUGGGCUUAAAGCGUGUGUAGGCGGAUCGUUAAGUGCCUUGUGAAAUCCCACGGCUCAACCGUGGAACUGCUUGGCAUACUGGCGGUCUUGAGCAACCUAGGGGCGAGCGGAACAAAUGGUGGAGCGGUGAAAUGCGUAGAUAUCAUUUGGAACGCCAAUGGGUGAAAAACAGCUCGCUGGGGGUUUGCUGACGCUGAGACACGAAAAGCCAGGGGAGCAAACGGGG
rnacentral:rRNA from 1 species